AACGCACCUUGCGCUCCUUGGUAUUCCGAGGAGCAUGCCUGUUUGAGUGUCGUGAAAUUCUCAAUCGGCGGGAUUUUCUUUCGAAGGUCUCGCACGUAUUGGACUUGGAGGGAUAUUGCCGGCGGACGGGAUCGUCCUCGGCUCCUCUUUAAAUGCAUUAGCUGGACCUACUCUGCCGCAGAGAGGAACAAGCCUGUCGGUGUGAUAAUAUCUGCGCCGUCGGGUCCUCUAUUCAUGUGGUCGGAAAACGGGCACCGCUUCCAAUGGUCCGUCCGCGGACAGCGAUAUUGAAAAUCUGACCUCAAAUCAGGUAGGACUACCCGCUGAACUUAA
rnacentral:rRNA from 1 species